UACGUAGGGCGCAAGCGUUGUCCGGAAUUAUUGGGCGUAAAGAGCUCGUAGGCGGUCCGUCACGUCUGCCGUGAAACCCGAGGCUUAACCUCGGGCCUGCGGUGGAUACGGGCGGACUAGAGGUAGGUAGGGGAGAAUGGAAUUCCCGGUGUAGCGGUGAAAUGCGCAGAUAUCGGGAGGAACACCGGUGGCGAAGGCGGUUCUCUGGGCCUUACCUGACGCUGAGGAGCGAAAGCGUGGGGAGCGAACAGG
rnacentral:rRNA from 1 species